rnacentral:rRNA from 1 species
UACGAAGGGGGCUAGCGUUGCUCGGAAUCACUGGGCGUAAAGGGUGCGUAGGCGGGUCUUUAAGUCAGGGGUGAAAUCCUGGAGCUCAACUCCAGAACUGCCUUUGAUACUGAAGAUCUUGAGUCCGGGAGAGGUGAGUGGAACUGCGAGUGUAGAGGUGAGAUUCGUAGAUAUUCGCAAGAACACCAGUGGCGAAGGCGGCUCACUGGCCCGGUACUGACGCUGAGGCACGAAAGCGUGGGGAGCAGACAGG